rnacentral:misc_RNA from 1 species
UAAAUAAUCCUACCCUUUGUGAAUUUUGUUUGUUUGAAUAAUUUUUUUUUUAAAAAAUUAUUGGAGUCUUUCCCUUUAGAGUUUGCUUUUGAGUUUGUAAAAGAAUUCGAAAACAUCUAAAGGGGAUGGUCAAUAAUUUUUUUUGAAAAAAGACAUUUUUUAAAAUUAAACUUUUUGUAUUCAUUUGUCUAAAAAUUAUUUUUAUAAUAUAAAAACAACUUUUGACAAUGGAUCUCUUGGUUCUCGCAACGAUGAAGAACGCAGCAAAAUGCGAUAAGUAGUGUGAAUUGCAGAAUACGUGAAUCAUCGAAUCUUUGAACGCAUAUUGCACUUUUUUAGUUUACUAAAAAAGUAUGUCUGUUUGAGUAUCAGUAAAAUAUUCUCAUAAAAAUCAUUGUGUAUUUUUAUGGUUAUGAGUGUUUUACAACGAUACAAGUUGUUUCACUUUAAAUUUUUUUUUAAUAUUGAAAUUUUUCUAAUUUUAAUAAUUAAAAUUGGAUAAAAUUUUCCCGUCAAAAGGAAUAACCUAAACAAUUUUAAAUGAUUAAUUUUAGCAAAAUUUUCGAAAAAGGAAAAUUUUUAUUAAAAUAACUUGAUCUCAAAUCAGAUAAGAGUACCCGCUGAACUUAAGCAUAUCAAUAAGCGGAGGAAAAGAAACUAACAAGGAUUCCCUUAGUAACGGCGAGUGAAGCGGGAAGAGCUCAAAUUUGAAAUCUUCAAGGUUUUACCUUGACGAAUUGUAGUUUAAAGAAGUGUUUUCUGCUGAAGUUUUGGUAAAAGUUCUUUGGAAUAGGACAUCAUAGAGGGUGAGAAUCCCGUAUUUGACCAUUAUUUUCAGCUUUGUGAUACACUUUCAAAGAGUCGGAUUGUUUGGGAAUGCAGUCCAAAAUGGGUGGUAAAUUUCAUCUAAAGCAAAUAUUGGCGAGAGACCGAUAGCGAACAAGUACCGUGAGGGAAAGAUGAAAAGAACUUUGAAAAGAGAGUUAAACAGUACGUGAAAUUGUCAAAAGGGAAGCGUUUGACACCAGUGUUGUUUUCUCGAAAAUCAAUUAAAAAUGGCUCGAUUUUGUAUUGCUGAGACCUUAAAAGCUCACUGUACAUUUUUCGUGUCUUUUUUAAUGCACUUUUCGUUUAACAAGUCAACAUCAGUUUCUUUUGUUGUAAAAGGGUCAUUGGAAGGUGGCUUUCUUUUCGGAGAAAGUGUUUAUAGCCUUUGGCCUCUGCAAUCGAAGAGACUGAGGUCUGCAGCGUAGACUCUUCGGGGUUAGAUACAUUUGUGCUAAGUUAUAGCUUUUUAUAGACAACUUGUUGACUAUAAUUAGUCUUGUAGCUUACUCGCUUAUGCUAUUUUACCUACGCUUAGGAUG